AUGGAAGAACUCCUACUGCGCCACGGCCGCCUCUCGAGGCCAGUGGCAACCCGCCGCCUCCGCAUCGUCGCCGUCGCGCUAAGGUCCAGACAGAGCAGCAGGCUCGCCGUCCCGGGGUUUCCGCCCGCGACGGCGCCGGCCCCGGCGCCUGCCCAGGAGCACGUGCUACCGUCGCCUCAUGUGGCCGCAGACGCCGCAGCUGUCUUGCUCGAGACGGGCGUGCGCCCGGAGGAUAUCCGGCGCGCGGCGGGGAUGUGCCCCGAGCUAAUGUCCGUGCCCGUCGAGACCAUCACGGCCGCGCUGCGGUUCCUGACCGACGAGGCCGGAGUGCCCGCAGAGGAGCUGCCGCGCGUGCUGAGGCGACGCCCACGCCUGCUCGUGUCCUCCGCCGCGGCGCGGCUCCGGCCGACGCUCUACUUCCUCCGGGCGCUUGGCGUGCCCGACCUCCACCGCCGUGCCGACCUGCUCUCCUUCUCCGUGGAGGACAAGCUGCUCCCGCGGAUCGAGUUCCUCGAGUCGCUAGGCCUCCCCUCCCGCGCCGCGCGCUCCAUGGCACGCCGCUUCCCGGCGCUAUUCUACUACGGCAUUGAUGGCAACAUGCGGCCCAAGGCUGAGUAUCUUCUGGGCGUCAUGGGCCGCGACGCCGACGAGCUCUUCGACUUCCCGGAGUACUUCUCCUACGCGCUCGACACACGCAUCGCGACGCGCCACGAGGCCUGCGCCGCGCGCGGCGUGAGGAUGCCGCUGCCCGCCAUGCUCCGGCCUGGGGAGCCCAAGUUCGAGGACUGCCUCGCGGGCUGUGUCGGCUCCACGCCGCCACGGCGGCGGUCGCCCCUUUGGCACGCCUAUUGGGUGGAUGGCGACGGCGCCGGCGUCGGCGCGGUGGUAGAGAAGGCAAGACGUGACGAUGCGAUCGCGGCAUCAUACCGCCAUGUGCAUUAUUAG
rnacentral:rRNA from 1 species